rnacentral:rRNA from 1 species
CCUGGAGGAAGCCCCGGCUAACUACGUGCCAGCAGCCGCGGUAAGACGUAGGGGGCGAGCGUUGUCCGGAAUUACUGGGCGUAAAGGGCGUGUAGGCGGCUUUACAAGUCAGCUGUGAAAUCCCCCGGCUCAACUGGGGGCUUGUAGUUGAAACUGUAGAGCUUGAGUGCAGGAGAGGAGGGUGGAAUUCCCAGUGUAGCGGUGAAAUGCGUAGAUAUUGGGAGGAACACCGGUGGCGAAGGCGGCCUUCUGGCCUGUAACUGACGCUGAGGCGCGAAAGCCAGGGGAGCAAACAGGAUUAGAUACCCUGGUAGUCCUGGCUGUAAACGCUGGGUACUAGGUGUAGGGGGUUUAGACGCUCUCUGUGCCGUAGUUAACGCAUUAAGUACCCCGCCUGGGGAGUACGAUCGCAAGGUUGAAACUCAAAGGAAUUGACGGGGGCCCGCACAAGCGGUGGAGCAUGUGGUUUAAUUCGACGCAACGCGAAGAACCUUACCAGCUCUUGAC